AAUUAGUUCACAAGCUGGCUAAAGUUUCUGCUUAUUUAAACACACACACACACACAUACACACACACACACACACAUUCAGGCUUGCUUUUAGCAACAUUAAUGUCCACGUCUGUGUCUCUGUGCUGUUUAAUAAGGAACAGUUUCUGAAAGCAUGCAGCUCUUGUUUUUCCUUCCCUAGGACAGAUGGUAUUUUACCCUGUGAUGCCACACACACCACCAUCAUAGAUGAGCUUUCAGAGUGUCUGAUUUCAUUCUUUUUUUUCCCCCCAUUAUUUAUUUACUUGUUUGUUUUUGAUGUGUAUGUCUACAUGUGAGUGUUCAUGAGUGCAGAACUCGUAGACUAAUGUCAUCUGUCUCUUCCCAUUUGUUCUUUCUCCACCUUUACAUUUUGAGAUGGCAUCUUCCACUGAACCUGAGCCGGUUAUUGAUUUAGCUAGGCUGGCUGGCUUUGGGUAUCUGCGGGUCUCUCCGCCACAGCCAUAGGGUUAGAGAGAAAAGUGUAGGUCUGCAGGCCGCACUUUACUGCCUGCACCAUCUCCUGAAACUCUCCCUCCCUCCCUCCUGUCUCUCUGUCCCUCUCACCUUUGUUUAAGCCUUGCUUAGGUAAAUGAGAUAGAUCUCUUAACAUGACUUGGAUAAAGGUCAGCGUUAAUUUUGAGUGGCCUUCUUUUAAAACAUGACUCUUGGAAAAGUUGAAGUAACAGUGUCUGUGUCAAGUGGUACGCAGGUGUUAAGAGAGCAUAGUUAAGCUAUCUUCAUUACUCCAGGGUCCUUUGAAUGGAGGUUACUCUUUUUGUAAAGUAGUCUCAUAAUUGGAGUUGGAGAAUGACAUGGAAAGGAUCAGAGACCAAAUGACCUUCUCCACAAAAAUUCCAUGACAAUAUCUUCUGCAUCUAUUUGUCUAUCUAUAUAGCUAUAUACCUUAUCUAUCUAUCAAAUAGCUAGCUAGCUAUCAACUAUCUAUUAUCUAUCUAUCAAUCAUCUAUCAUCUAUCUUCUAUUAAUAAUCUAUGUGUCAUCUAUGUAUCUAUCAAUAAUCUAUAUAUCUAGCUCCCAGCCCAGAACCUUAAAUAUACCAAAGACUAGCGUGGAGAUCGCAUACGGCUGGCAGAAGGUGUACCAACCUUUGUCCAGAGCAGUGUUUAUUUAACAUUUGAACGUUUUCUCUUGCUGCUUUCAAGGGAGCCACAUGCCUCCUGUUCUGCAAGCAGUCUGCCUCUGGCUAGACUCCCCAUUUGGAGCACCUUGCAACUCCCAUAUCAAUUAAAUCCCAUCUGUGGGGGUGGAACCCAGGCUUCAACCAACAAUCUUUACUGCUCCCUAGGUGAUUCCAGGAGCAGCCAUGGUUAAGAACCCUGGCUCUCUAAUCUUAAUGCUAAGCCACUUCAAACAUCCUCUUUACAUGCUUGGCCCCGAGGGUGUUUCCCUCUCUUAUCCUGGGCAUGUGAUUAGAAACAGACUGGUUUCUGGACCGGGUUUCAAACUCUAGUUCUGCUACUUUUUGUGUGAAGUCAGACCUAAUUUUUCUUCUUUAUCAAAUGGAGAUUAGAGUGACUCAUUUCGUCAGGGCUGUUCUAAGUAUGAGCCAAAAUAAUAUGCACAGUACCCUUAACACAAACAUAGAGACUCUUAUCUUUUCUCUUCCCAGCUUGGUCUUAGGCCCAGUGUUGAGAUUGGCUAACUUCUUUGUACAGGUAUAUACCCGUCUUUGUUUCUAAGCAAGCAUCAGGAAAAUAAAUAAACUGGCAUAAGCUGGUGCACUUUACCCUGGACAAGGAAAGGCUCUUCCUUGACAACUUAAACACAUAAUUAGUCUUUGGUUACUGGUUAACCCCUCUGAAUCACAGUACAUUAGCAGAGGUGUGCAGCUUCUGAGCUAAUGAUAGUACGAAGGUCUGGAAUAAGAUGGAGCUAGCACACAUUGAAGACUAUUCAGUGUGCUCUCUGGAAACCCUGUCCCCUGUUAUGAGAGUGAUGACCACAUACCACUGAAGAAGAGCUAUAUAAUAUUUUAUAUGCUCUAAAUUCAAACAAGUACGUUGUAAUUAUUUAGAAGAAAGGAGUUGUAUGUAAAAACCCCAUUUGUUACUUAAAUUUGCUGGCACGAGGGAGGACAAAAUCCCAUCCUGACCAGGGAGGUAUUGUGCUAUGGCCUCCAAAGCUCCUAAUUUGCUUU
rnacentral:lncRNA from 1 species